AGAAAUACACCAAUCACAAAAAUAAAAUUUUCAAAAGGAUAACAUAAACAUUAGCUCAGCCACGCUUCACAGGAUCAAAAUUGGAAACACCAAUCACAGCUCCCAAAAUGGCAACAAGCACGGCACCACCAGCCCCAAUGCUGAGCAAGAAGUUAUUCAGCGACGGAGUAACACUAGACGCCGCCUCUGCUACAUCAGGAACCACCAUCGACGCCGUUAGAGCUGCGGCGGUCAAAGCCGUCACUGCCUUCUCCUUCAAAGAGCUCUGAACCACCAAUCGUUUGGAUGGUGCAGCCACUAUCUUAGACGAAGAAACCUUGAGUGUCAAUGGGUUAAAGAAGGAGUUCGAUGGUGGGAGCGCAGUCUUGUGGGUCAAUGGCAUAGCCAUGGAAACUGCAGAUGUGGAGGCCAUUGAUGCUUCUUCUUUUUUUGCUUCUGUGUGUCGAUCGAUGAAAAAAGAAUGAUGGGUGAGUUAAAGGAAGGUUGAGAGGUGAGAAAUGGAGAUGAAGGGUAUUUGUGAUCUCCAUAUCUUGGAGUCCGAUGUGGCUGCUUUUCCACUUGGUUUUGGUGGAUAACCUUAUCCUUCCAUCCAUCCAUGCAACCUCAUUAUUUUUAAAUCAAAAUUCAAUUAAUUUGUAAAAUCAAUGUCUAUGUGCAUUGUGAUUUUGUAUAGGUUUUCAUUUUAGUAACAAUAAAGGUGUAAUUUUGGUUUUUACUUAAAACUAGGUUUUUGCAUAUCGCGAUGCAUUGACGACAAUUUGUUUGGUAAGGUGAAUUUUGAGAAUUUUAUUGAUAAAAGUUAAGUAUAUUUAUAUGUGAUCGAACUCAUACGUAGGAAACAUAUAUAAAAAUAAACAUAAAAAUGUAAACAAAAUUUUCAUCGAAAUACAAAGAAGCUCGAAUUUAUACCAAUACCUACAUAAAAUUAAGUAAUCAAUAUUAUUAUUUUUUAAGUUAACGAACAAAAAUUCAAAUAAUCACAAUUGUAUUAUAUGUGACCCGAAUCAUANNNNNNNNNNNNNNAUAUAUCGAAUUGUAGACCAACUCAAAUUUAUACCGACACACAUGGUUGUUAUGUAACAUUCUGUUUCGGAUCGUUCUGUGAUUUAAGGCUCGUGAGCCGUAAUUUGGGUAUGAGAAGGUUUUUAGGCUUUAAGAAGAAAGGUUUAGACCUUUUUGGAUGUGGGUAAGGUAGGUUGUGUGAUUAAAGAGUUCGGUUUGUGCUCUAGAGCCCAAUGGUAUCGGUAAAGGCGUUAGUUCGGGCCUUUCAUGAAUUUUGGAUCUGAGCUCGAGUGGGUUUUAGGAAAAAUAAAGUUGAUAGAAGUGUAGGGAUUCUCUUUACCUUUUCGUGGAUAUAAGGAUCAUCGGAAACGGACUUAUAACGAAGAAGUUAUGACAUUCGGAAGUUUGGUGGUUUCAGGGUUCAGCCGAGUACGCAGGGCGUACACAAAGGGUACGUGGGGUAUACUAGUGAAGUGAGCGGUAUGCGCGUACCUUGGCAUACGCUGGGCGUACUAACCAGGAUGGUCACGGGUGCUCUUAGGAGUACGUUGGGCGUACCAUAUGUACGUUAUGCGUACUCCAAUUAGAUUCAAACCCUAUUUUAGGGUCGUGGACCCUAUUUAAGCUCCUUAUCUCAUAAUCUAACCCUAAUAUAUUCAGCCUCCGUCCCUGUAAACCCUAGAAAUCGACCCUUAGCCUCCAUUUGAGUGAUUCUUGAGCUUUUUAGUGAUUUAGUGGGUUUUUUGUGUUUAUUGUGGAAGAAGGAGCUUCUUGAGGAAGCAUUGAUUGGCUUAUAUCUUGUAGAUCCAAGCCCUAUUCAUAUUGAUCUAGCUCCAGACAGUAUAAAGUUUGAAUCUUGGUAGCUUUCUCAUGUGGAUCUAGUUGGGUUAUGACUUGUUAUGUUUGGCCCUUGAAGAAGACGGAUCUUGGUGAUCAAACUAUUGUUGGAGUAAAGCUUCUAGAUCCAGAUCUUUCAUCAACUUUGCAAGCUACUAGAGGUAUAAAGUCUCUAUCUUGGUGAAUCAUGUGUUUGAUCUAGCUAGUUUUGGGUUUUAUGUACUUUUUGUCCCAAAGCUUUGGUCUUUAUGAGUAUGGGCUACUCUAGACCAUUUGAGUUGUCCUUUCUGAGGUUUUUGAGUGUUCUAAGUCAUAAAAAUGUGAUAUUAGUCCAUUCCUUCAGUUUGGGUUUUUGAGUUAAAAGUUAGGGUUUGGGUUUGAGCACAUUUAGCCAUGACAAGGCAUAAAUUUGGGAACUUUAUGUUGUAAAAUGCCUUCUUGGACGAGAUCUAAGUGUUGGGUGAAAAUACUUAACGAGUUAAGUACUUAAUGUGAGUUAUUGGCCUAUUUAUGGAGUUAGAGUGCUUGAAAUCAUGUUUGGGCCCCUUUGAGUCAUGCUAAGGCUUAAAGCCUUCGACUUUAUGGAUUAAUUCAUUAUUAUGGGAUUAUUCUGACGGAAUAAGUCAUUAGAACAAGAAUUGGAAUUUCAUCGGGAAUGCCACACGUAAUUACUGGGAAGGCAGUGUGUUCCAUCCUGAGUCCCCGUCAAGUGAUCCAGCGGCGAACGUCGUGCGUUCUGCCCAUGAACGCCAUGCGUUCGUCUGAUCAUUGGAGUUGUGGGCUUGGACUUGUUUUGAGGUUGGGAUUUGCCGUUUUGGGCCUUGUUGGGUUGCCCUAUUGGGUCUAAGGAGUUAUUAAGUUGGGCCUUAUUAGGUCUAGUAUGGGUUUGGUCCUUAGAGGGCAUGUUCAUAUUGGGCCUUGUGCUUUGGGUAUAACCCUGAAUGUUAUCUGAGAAUGAUCUUUUUUGGCUCGGUGUGUGGAGUCGUUGUGCAGCGGACACGAUGGUAGGAUUUGUUAUCCAUCGACCAAGGUGAUUAUUCUCACUAUACUUACAUGUGUGGUAAUUUAUAUGUGACCGGAGGGUCUUGUUUGUGUUAUUGACCAUAGGGACUCAUUCGUAUUAUUGACCGGAUGGUCUUAUUGGUUUAUAUUGAAAUUCAAUCUUGACAACCUGUGCAUUAAAAAAAAACAAUUUUUUUUAAUUAACGAACGAAAGUUGUAAAUUAGCAUCAAAACAUUAACCAUUUUGAAUUUAUAUCGACACAUACAUUAAAACAUUAGUUUUUUUUUUAAGUUUACGAAUGUAACUUACUAAGGAAAACCAAAUUAAAUAUAUAUUACGGGGGGAUAAAUACGAAAGUUUAGAAAAUAGAUGGGAUGAAAGUGACAUUUUAUAAAAUUCAAAGUGGAUGUGGUGAAAGUGACUUUUUAAAAAGAAAAGGGAUGGAAAUAUCAUUUUAGAAAGUAUUUUAAAAAGUAUAUGGUGAAAAAUGUCCCUUUAGGGAUAUAAAAAUGUUAUUUUACAAAGUAUUUUAACAAGCGGGAAAGAUAAUUCGUUUUGUAAUUUAAAUUUUAAUGAUUGUAUUUAUAAAUAGGUAUGCAUCGUUACAUUUGACAGUUGUUAGAAAGCUGAAAAUAGCAAAAGAAAAAAAUAUAGGUUAUAUGGAAAAAAAAACAAACAAAGUUAAAGAACUGCAAAUAACAAAAGAAACCAUAGAGGUAAAUAUUGAAAUAUAAAAGUUUGGGAUUGAAAAAAUAUUCUAAAUAACGCAUGAUUUGCCGAUAAUGUCAAGUCUCUAUCUUUUUUGAGUCGUGGCCAGCCACGUUCUUUAUAAGGCGUGACUAAAAUCGACAAUUUUNAUAUAUAUAUAUAUAUAUAUAUAUAUAUAUAUAUAUAUAUAUAUAUAUAUAUAUAUAUAUACAUUAUUCAUUUUUAUACACAUAUAUGACUUAAGACAAUAUUUUGUGAAAUUUUGGUGACAAGUACAAGUUUUGGAAUCAUGGUAUAUUAUGACUAACUUUUUAGAACUUUGGUUUGUAAUAACAAGGCAAAUUAGUUUUUAUUUUUUAUUAUCUUUAACCAUUCAAUAUCAUUAUUUUGUUACUAUUUUUUUAUCAUUGAAAAUUCUUCUAACAAAAUAUUUAUCAAUAUUACAUGAUACAUAUAAUCUUAUAUUCUUCAUAACAUUUUUUUUCUAAUAAUCAACGUUAUUAAAUAUACAAAAUGAAAAUCAAAUGCCAAAUAUUAAAAAUACAUAGAUGUUAUUAUAUUGUUUUUAACAUUUUUUAUUUUUAUAACUAUAUUAUUGAUAAAAAUAUCACAGAUAUCAAAUAUGGCACAUAUGAUAUAUGCUUAGAGAAUGAGCUUCUUUACCCUCUUUUUUUUUUUAUAUUUAUAAGUAGUCUAUACCUAUUAAAUUUAAUAUAUAUUUGGUUUAAAAAUAUAAAAUUUGGGUCCCUCGUUUUUUAAUUUUUAUACAUAUUAUACUUUCACACCCAGAAUCAAAAGUUCAAGCUCCGCGCACGGCAGGAAAAUUACAAUUUGUGAUAAUUAGUUUAUAAAAUAUUUCAAAUAGAUAAGGAUAAACGUUUGAAUAUAUAUAUAUAUAUAUAUUUGUAAUUUUUUUUUUUGAUAAAUGCUUUAAAGAAGAUUAACAUAGUUUUCUAUUGCUGCCAUAGAAAAGGUAAUCUCUAAAAAGAAGAUUAUUGUAUAUUAUCUUUAACCAAUCAAAAUAACUAAAAAGAAAUAUAGAAAACGUUUGUAGCAAUUAAUCCAGAUCUAAAUUUGGUUUCACAUAUGCUAAAACAUUGUAUAUGUUUUGUCGAGCUUUUAAAUUUGAUAUGUUUUCCAACACCCACCUUUUUCAAUUUUCCAAUUCUGGUUUUGAUUAUGCUAGAACAAAUUUAAAUCCAUUAUUAUAUAUACUUGUUAUAACUUAAUUAUUUUUUAACAUCAAACAAAUUCGUCUAAACAUAAGCCUAUUUGGUAUGGACAACAUGAUAAGACAUGUUAUUAUACCCAAAAUUUGUCAACUCACAUGCCAUGUCAUCUUUAACACCAUUUGAUUUAUAUAGGAAAUGGUAUGCAAAUGUUAUAGUAAUAUAUUAAGAGAGAGAGAGAGAGAGAGAGAGAGAGAGAGAAUGGUUUUUGAUUGGUUAAUUCUCACGUUAUUUCUCGUGGACAUGAUAACAUUUCUUAACAUAACACCAAAUAACAUGAGAGGGGCGGUGUACAAGGCACUAUAACGCCAUUUUUUAUUGUUACAUCCGAAAAAUGCAAAAGCCCGUUGCCCGCUCAUAGUAGUCUAAAUUUUAGAAAAAAGCUACACGGAAGUAAAGAUGACAAAAAAAUAUGUACCCGAUAGGAACCCGAACCCAAGUUGGCCGGGUAAAUCCCUAANNNNNNNNNNNNNNNNNNNNNNNNNNNNNNNNNNNNNNNNNNNNNNNNNNNNNNNNNNNNNNNNNNNNNNNNNNNNNNNNNNNNNNNNNNNNNNNNNNNNNNNNNNNNNNNNNNNNNNNNNNNCAAUUUUAAAUAAAUAAUGAUGGAUACUUAAACAUUUAGAUUAUAAAACUGGCAAUUUUUUAAAAUAAAACGUGAAUGGAUCGAUUUCGAUUGUGACAAGUUAACUUGUAAAAUAAAAAAAUUAUCUAAAAGGAAAUAAGUCAAAAAUGUUGAUUGUUAAAGAUAUUGUAUUUUAUAUUCACUACAACUAAUAUAUGAUUAGUAUGUGAAAUAUCUAAAUGUGUAAGAAGAAUAAAGUUAUUUCACUUUUCACGUUUAUUAUUUACGUAGAAAUAGAAAUAAUUGAGCUUUGUAAUUUGAAAGUAAAUAAAACUUUCUACUUUUUAAUGUCUAGAAACAAUAGAGAAAAAAUCAUGCUUAAAGAAAUAUAAUAAAAGUAGUAAUAUAUGGAGAUCGGGCGAAAAAAAUUCAUACUUCAAAGCAACGAUCUAUUUAUCUAUUACAAUAAAGAUCAUAUAUUUCAACUUAUUCAUUUUAAAGUCUAAAACUUUUCAAUCAUAUAUUGUGUGCAUGAAUGCACCAAUAUAAAUUUAGGAAAAAAUAAAUCAUUAAUAAUAAAUCUAAGGGUAUAAUAGUAAUCUAUACUAUAAUUAAUUAUGGUAAAUUGAUAAAAUUAAAUAAUAUCCCCUUUUAAAUUAGGAUAUCAGUUUUAAAACCUCACCCCCACCAGAUUAGGGUUUUACGCUCCCUCUUCAUCUCAUACAGUACCCACACACAGAUAGAGACCCAAUAGAUCUACUCUUCUUCUUCAAUAGAGACCCGGUAGAAGUACUCCACACGCAUAACAGGUGAUGAUCCACUUUCCGUCUUAGGCCUCCACACACAAAAAGUUCCAGAAGGUAGAGCUUCCAAUUCGUCGGCUUCUGAUGAUGAACAUGAAGAAGAUUCUUCUAGUUCAUCAAUGAACAGCUUCCAUAAUGAACUGGUGAUAGAAUCAGAAGCAUGAAUCUCAUUAUCCUUUGAUUUGACUUCAUCCUUGAUGAGAAGAUCGCGAUUGAAAAGAGGAAAAACAGUCCAACCUCGCGAAUCGAUCCCUUUUGUUGAAACCCCUUCUUCAAUUAAAUCCAACGAGAAUCUAAAAUCGUCUUCAUCAAAAUCCCCAAAUUCGUGAAAUCGACCGGCCUGUUCUUUACAUAUGACUUUGGCGAUAGCCAUGGAUGUGUUCUUCGAUCUAUGAGAGAUUCUGGAAUCGGCUUCCAGGUAUGCACUCUAUUAUCUUUUUUAUUGUAAAUUUAGUCACAUUCAUGUAUUUAUUAAUUACAUAUGUUGUAUGUUUAAUCAAAUGGAGUAUAAAGAUUUGUGCAUCUGAUUUUUCCCGCCAAAUGUUUGUUAAAAUGCUUGAAUCAAAUAUUUUAGCCAAUUUUUUUUUAAUAUUUGAACUAUCACAUGUCUCUCAUACUAGCUUGUAAUGAUAUGAAAUUUGUUUCUACAUAUUCUCCUUUGUGUUAGAUACAAGUUAGGUUCAGAAGUCAUUUAAAUUUGAUUAAUAUUGGUUGAGUUAUAGUCCUUCGAACAUACGAUGUUACAGCUGUAUUUUUAGCACUCUUUGUUCAGAAACAUUUGUGAUCUUUGAACUGUCAUAUUUACCACAUUCUAGCUUGUAAUAAGCUAACAUUUUUCCAAAGUAUUGUCCUCUGUGUUAGCUACAACAUAGUCAUUGUAAUUAGAUUAAGUCGAUAAUUUGGACCAGGUGACUCGGGGAAUACUUGAUCAAGUGACUCGAGUACAUUCUGUUAGAAUAAAUUAAAAGUGUUUAAUGUCUAACACAUUAUGUUAGAAUUAUAGUUUUAUUCUGUUAGAAUAUACUAAAAGUUAUACUAUUUCAAAAUUGAUUAUGUUUUUUUUUUGGAUUUAAGUUUUGAAGGGGCUGCCAUUGAAGUGGAAAAUGAAGAAAACAUGGAGAACGUGAGUAUUCUAGCAUAAUGUUGUUAUUUUUUAAAAAUGUUAUUCAUUUUUGUUGAUGUUCUUUUAAAAUAUUUUAUAACUAUAUUAAAAUGUAUAAGACUUUUAGUUUGUAAGAAUAUGUAUGAAUUUGUAUUUAAGUUCGGAUGUAUAAGAAUAUAUUAAAAUGUUUGUUAUUUUUGAACAUCUCAUUUAAGAAUUUUGUUUUUAUUCAAUAAUAUUCUAUUAUAAUAAAAUCCUGAAAGAGUAUCAUUCUAACAAAAAAUAUUCUGAUAGAAUAAAAUCGGUAAAAAUUGAAAUUGAAUUAAUUAAAAAAUUCAGAUUUUUUUAAAUUAGGAGAAUUAAUCAUCCCUAAAAAUCCAAAAAUUACCUUUUAUAAAUGUAGUUAAUUGUCCAAAAUACCAUUUUGCUAAAAAUUGUGUGAUUAUAUGGUACAUGUUACCCAUUAUAAUAUCAUACACUCUCAAAUCAUAUCCAUUGAUUAAUUUCAUUCGUUGGUCCAAAUCUGUCCCGAAAAAAAUUUCUCUAAAAAUGAUAAAAAUUUAAGUAAUACUUUUACCCACUGUUCUAAUGACUUUGUAAAAAAAAUUAAAAAUAAGGUGUUUUAGAUACCAAAUUUGAUUUUAAAAGAUUAAAAGUGUAAAAGAAAAAUGUUGAACAUAAUUGAUCCAAAUAUAGGUGAUUCAAAAAUAUUAUGAUCUCUAACUUAUUAUGAUCUAAAAAUAUUUUGAUUCAAAUAUUUUAUGAUCAUAAAUUAUUAUAUCUUUUAUGAUUCAAAAUUAAAUGAUUCAAAAAAUAUAAUGAUGCAAAUAUUGCAUUGAACAAAAACUAUAUAUAAUUCAAUAUAUUAUGAUCCAAAAUCAUAUAAUUCACAAAUAUUAUGAUCCAAAUUACUAUGAUUCAAAAUGAUAUGUGUCACACNUAUAUAUAUAUAUAUAUAUAUAAAGAACAUUGCACAAAUUUAUAUCACAAACGAUACUUUUAUUUAUUAUAAUUUAUUUUAGAUUACAUUAUUUAAAAAGGUCAAACGUACAUCUUAAAACAUAACUAGAAAUGACAAACAGACGAAACUAAACUCCAACAAGCUUCCUCAAAAACCUCCUCCUCGACACGAUUAUCUUCCACAUUCAUCUCCUUAAGAAUACAUGUAUUUUUUAAAAAUUCAACAUAAUGUUGAUGAUUGCACAGGUUUUUAUAGUUCUCAACUUUUAUUUAGUUGUAUUAAUUUAAAAAUCCUUCUUUUUAGAAAAAGCUUUGUUAAAAAUAUUUUAUCAACCCUAACUUACUAUCAUUUCAGGAUAUCUAAAAAUCUUAUCUUAUUAUCUUUUAAGAUAUUAUAUUAAUCCUAAUUUACUAUCUUUGUAAGUUAACUAAUUCUAACGUAUUUUAUCUAUCACUCUAAGGCGUUCCUAAUAGUAGUUGGAUCUCUAAGGUGGUUGUAAUGUAACGUUCGCAAAUUCGGGCUAGUCAAUUUAGAGACAAUAAACAUCAAAAUGACAUUUUAUGGAAGAUUAUUUAGAAUGAAUAAUAUUAACCAACAUUGGAAUCUGAGUUACAACGAAGAAGUUAUGGGUCGUCGAAGUUUUACGGCUAAACCGGCACGGAACCGCGUAACGUAAAAAGUGAAUUUUUGAUAAAUUACUUUUUAGCCUUAUGGUUCUAAACAAAAGUAGUAGUAUACGUUAAACUGAGAGCGUGCAUAAAAAGAAUGUCCAAAUCUGACUUCGUAUGAGGAAGUUAUGAUUUUUCUAAGAUUUGGCAAAACAGUAUGCAGCUCAGAAUUCGAAUAUUAGAUCGACCGAUUUUUAGCCGACACAACCUAAAUGAGAACCAAAGAUCUUGUUAAUAGGAGCUCAACAAUAAAAAGACGGACGAAAACGGAUGUUGAAUGACAAAAUUAUGAAUUUUUAACGAACUUUACCUGUCCCGGCCUGUUAAAAAUAUAACUUUAAAAAUAAAUUCAAAAAUAGCCAAAGGAGUCUAAACGAAAGUUCUAAAGUACGUCUCCACCUACAUGUUGAUAUAAAGAACGUCAAAACGGAGCUCGUAUGCGAAACUUAUAGAAUUUAGAAAUUUAACAUGGUGGUUGCGAGGGUACAGUGUACGCCCCGCGUACAUAACCUGUACGCCCCGCAGUCUCGCAACUCAUGGAUCUGGAUCAAAAUGUCGCCCCACCUGAAGCUCGCCACUCGUCCCUUCUUACGCAUAGCGUCACUUCAUACGCAAGGCGUAGUGAGUACGCCCAGCGUAAUGCGCAACUAAGGCCUAUAAAAGGGAUACGAGGGUCUCCAUUGUUUUCCACACCAAAGCCAUUUCUUUCUCUCUCUAACUUCUCUCUAAGCCCUCCCAACCCCUAGUAACUUCUAAGUGCUAAAGGAAAGCCUCCGGGGUGCCAGAAGGCUCCGAGAAAAAGAGUUUUUCGGCUCGAAAGGUUCUGCCCCCGCAUAGUCUGGUUUCUAGCAAACCUUCCGGUAAGUGAUUUAUGCUUACCAUACUUUAAGUAUAGCUUAGGUUUAAAUUUAUUAUCGUUAUUAUGAACUUAUAAAAAAUACACACACACACACACACUCACACACACACACACACACAUAUAUAUAUAUAUAUAUAUANAAGUGUUAUGAUAAUAUCUUUUAACUACUCGCGGUACGGGGAAUCUGGUUUGAAGGGCCGCAUAGGGUUGUUGGAUUUCAGAAGUACUAUAAUGCCAAAAUGGUCCUGCCCUCCGGUGUUUCAUGACUGGCCCCUGUUUGUACAUAGUGGUUGAAAAGUAUUGUUUAACACUUAUAAAACAAUGUCGCUCGUAAAUAGUCUCUAUACAUCUUAGACUAAAAUAUAGUGGUAAUAAUACUAGGUUUCGUUGAAGGAAACGAUUGUUAGAAGCGAAGUGUUUUCCGAAUUUCGAGUCAUCACUUUAACAAGUGAGUGCAUAGUUAUUUUCAUCUUACACAUAGAUAUGAAGUAUUUAAUAUAAAUUACGUGUUAUGUGUGCAUAUUAUAUGUGUUCUUGAUAUCUAUGUUGGAUGAACGAUUUAUAUAUGUUUUAAAUGAUUUAAAUUGUAUAUGUAUUUUAUAUCUACGAAUAUGUUGGGUAAAACAUGGGUAGAUGAAUAACAAGGGAUGAAAGCUAAUAUAGAUGAACAUUGGCAGCUAUGGACUUAGUGCCCUAUGGAUGAACAUUGGCAGCUAGGGACUUAGUGCCCUAUAGGUGAACAUUGGCAGGUGCGCCACAACCUGUAGAUGUUUUUAAACUAUGAUGUACUCUAAACAUCGUAGCAGCUGCACCUAUAGGAUAGUAUUGGCAGUUACGACUAAUAGAGAACAUCAUAAUCCUGACAGUUGUGCUUACAUGAUAAUAUUGGAAAUUGUGCCUAAUAGAUAACAUUGGCAAUGAUGGAUUGCAUGUCUAUUCCUUAGGAAAAUCCUUAGGAAUGAAUGAGUAAAUGAUAGAUUAUUCUUAGGGUAAAUCCUUAAGAAAUAAAGAAGAUAAUGGGGAUGGGUAAUUGGGUGAAUUGUUUGAUGAUGAAACGUAACAACUUUAUUAUUAUGGGUUCAAAACCCUAUGUACUCACCAGCUUUCCCAACCUAACCCACUCGGUUUAUUUGUAUAAUAGGUGUCGAUACAAAGCUACAAUACACUAAGAGAUAAAAGGAGUCGUAAAUCACUAGUGUAAAUGAAUGUAAGGUCUGUGUAUGCUUAUGUUUCUGUAUUGACGAUGACAUCCCAAAGUUUUAAUAUAAACAAAAUACAUUUAUUCGGAAAUGCUUUGAUAAUAUAUUUAUCAUGUUCUCUGAGAACAAAUUCCGCAAUAUUAUUCUUAGAAAUGAAUACUCUAAUUUUCAAAUAACAAUAAAUAAAAUUUUUAAAAUGACUGUGAAUUUGGGGAUAUCACAUGUAAUGUAUUACCAUGAGCCCCCAUAAUCGACGUUGUUUGACUAAUGAUUACUCCGCUACGACGCUUCAUCAGACGUCGAAUAAUGAUUAAUAAGAAAGAUAUCCUAUCGGGAUUGUAGCUAGCAAUCGUAGGUCGGAGUGUCAAUCCCCGUAGGUCGGAGUGUCAAUCCCCGUAUAAAUCUAUACAUAUCUUUCUAGCUCUCGCAAAAUUAACGAUUACAGGUAUCAGGUAGCCGACUGUAAUCAGGCUAAGGAUGAAUAUUAACAACUCACUAAUGCAUUAACCUUAUGUAUUUAUCUUUUAUCGUUUAUCUAUUAUCUUUCUUAGGGAUUUCCUAUAAAUAUCAUAGUAUAAGCCCCUUUAAUUUUAUAUUUGAUGAUUAUAUCUUUUAGAUCUCAUAAUUAUUUUGUGUAUAUAUAUAUAUAUAUAUAUAUAUAUAUAUAUAUUUGUGAUACAUUUAUAGAAACUNAUAAACCCUAAUUAUAGUUAUUUGAAAACAUGAUAUUUGGGCAGAGUAACAAUUAGCUACAGUGCAUAUCCAUAUAUUUGACCAACAUAACUUCUAGAUACUAUGUUAUCCUAGGGAUUUGGCCAUUAUAACAUCUAGGUAUUAAUAUCAUAGCUUACAACUAUACAUAGUAUCUAUAGGUACAUUAUCCUAAGGUUUCUAGCUUUAUAAAACGAUUGAUAUUUAUGGAUAUAAAUAUAUUUUGAUAAAACAAUUUCAUAAGCAUGUAUCCGCCCCCCAAAAAAAAUUAAAAUAGUGCAAUAGGGGUCAUGAACUUACCGUAGUCACGUAAGACUAUUGAUGUAGGGUUAAAUCAGGCUCGACUCCGGGGACCGCUCUAAGGGCAGCAACUUCGAUAUUUUCAGAGUGAAUGAUGAUUGAAGUUGUGAAGAAGUGAUCUACAUAGCCUUCUAUUUAUAGUCAUGAAUUUGGGGUGCGUGCGCCGCAAAUAUUUGUGCGCGUCACGCGUGAUCAUCAUGGCUCCAUCCAGAGAAAGCCACGUGGCACAUCCCAAAUUGGCCAUGUUACUCGCAAUCCGAUCGAAUCCAAUGUCUGGCGCGCGAUGGACAUAGAAUCACACCUCACACGCACGAAAAGAUUUUUCAAAAAUCAUAACUUCUUCUUGCGAGCUCCGAUCUAAGCCAUCUCUAUAUCUAUGUGAUGAUCUCAACGGGUACUACAACUCUCCUUUAGGUUAUUUUGGCUAGUUUUGACUUUCAUUUUUGUAAGUCCCUAAUCUGCCUGUGUAUCAAUCAGAUCCGUUUGAUGGUGCGAAAUCCCAAUCAAACGGAUGAUGUAAGAUCAAAAAUAAAAGAGAAGGAGAAGAAGAGUUAAUAUGAAUCUUGUAUGUAUUGAUAUGAAUUAAUGUUCCAGAUACAAAAGAUUCACACACAUAUGCUUCUUAUUAUCUCUGGCCGUAAACUCCUUCUACUGUUUCAUCAAUCAUUAUUCCUCACCCUAACACCUCUAUUUAUACUUGAAUAUGGGUCGGACACACGUGGGCCGUAAAUGAGUUUACGGCCGUAAGGUGUUUACGGCCGUAAACUCAGCCGUAAACUAGGCCAUAAAAUCAUAAAAUAUUAUACAAAAAUACAAUUGCCCAGAAAAGUAAAGUAUAAACCAUAUUUUGACCCAACAAUCUUCCCCUUGGUUUAUAGCUUUCUUUUCUUAAUGACCCAACAAGCUCCCCCUAAAAAGUAGUUGGCUUUGCUUGUUAAUCUUCAUUGGGAACUUGGCUUCAGCAUUAAUCUUCAAAUUCUUCACAGCGUCAGGAUGAACAUAUGAAUCUUCCAUGAAUGACUUCAUCUUGAGCAGUUGGGCUUUUCUUCAGAGUUUGGCAUUGAUCGCACAUUGGGUGAGGAGGCUUGACGUACUGAUUCUUGAAAGAUAACGCUUUCAGCUUGAGAAUCUUCAGAGAGAACAUCAGAGAGAACAAAUCUUCUAGAUCACUUCAGCAGGUACAACAAUAGCAGCAGACUGAUUGAGGAGGCUUCAAUGCAAUCCGUCACAUAAUCUUCAAUUGCAGCUUCACCUUGCUUCUGGGGUUGAAGGAUUGAAUGUUGAAAGAAUAAUUUUCAUUUCUUGCUCCUUCGAAUGCGAAUUCUUCGAUGCUCAUGGAUGCAGCCUUUGGCUCAGAAAUCUUCAACACAAACUCCAUGAGUCUUAUCUAUACCUGAAAUCACUUUUCAAGACAAAACAAAACUAAAAGAAAACUUAGCACACAAAUUAAAACAAAAAUAUUUUUGGAUUUUUCAUAUUUUCUGAAAAAGAAAUAAAACAGAAAUAACACUAUUUUUUUAAUUUUUAUUUUAUUAUUAUUAUAUUUUUUUGUUUUUUUUUAAUUCUCCCAUUUUAUUUAAAUUAGAAGAAUACUAUGAACAAACUUAACAAAAACAAAAAUAAUAGCUAACUUUAAGAGUGAUUUGGGAUCAAAGUUGUUNNNNNNNNNNNNNNNNNNNNNNNNNNNNNNNNNNNNNNNNNNNNNNNNNNNNNNNNNNNNNNNNNNNNNNNNNNNNNNNNNNNNNNNNNNNNNNNNNNNNNNNNNNNNNNNNNNNNNNNNNNNNNNNNNNNNNNNNNNNNNNNNNNNNNNNNNNNNNNNNNNNNNNNNNNNAGGGCGCGUAGUGAUUUUAGGGGGUGCCGGGAUUCGAACCCGGAUCUCCCGCAUAGAAGACCAACGUCUUACCAGUUGAACUAGCUUGAAUCUUGUUUUAUUACUCCGAAAUAUGAAACUUAAACACUACCUGUCGCUACCUUCUUUCGAAAUUUUGACACUUUUAACCCAAAAACUCGAUUUCUUUUAACUUUAAAUUCCUUUUUUCAUCCAAAAUUAAAAUAAUAAUAAUAAAUAAAUAAAAAUAUAUAAAUUAAAUUAAAAUUAAUAAAUAAAAAUUGAGAGAAAAAUAUUUUAACUAAAAUAAUUUUUACACACCAAAUUUAACCACUUUAACCUUUGUGAUGCUUGGAUCAAAGUUGUUGGACGGCCUUAUUCCGCUUGUCGGUACCCUUAUCUUCACAUCUUCGUCUGACCGAUUGCCAGUAUUGUGGUCCACUUAAGCACGAAAGAUUUGUGACACUUUUUGGACAUUUUACCAAUGACAUAAUUCAGGCAUAUACCUAAUUGUAAAUUUCUGUAAUUAUGAUAACUCCUAAAUCUUAAAUAAAUUCACCUUAUGACCAUUUAACUGACUACAACCAGGGAUAUUGUUGUCCACCUAAAUCGAGCAGCGAGAUCUACAGACAAUCUGUAUGAGUUCAAUUUUAAGUGUACUGGAACGUGUUUCCCGCUUCCUGAUAUGCCCCAGCCAUCAAGAACUUCCAGAGUACUCCUUACACCGGGUGAGCAGACAACCAUUCAGAGAGAGAAGAGAUUCAGAAUUCUAUUGCUAACUACUUCAGAGGGGUUGAGAAGAAGAAGGUUGCAUAUGCUGUGUACCAGGUCGGAUUAGAAGUCGCGCAAAGGAGACAGCAUAUGGCUAACAGAUGAGAAGUAUUUCACACAUGUAUAUAUAUAUAUAUAUCCUGCAGAGAAAUAGAGUCGCAUAUGUUGUGUACCAGGUCGGAUUAGAAGUCGCGCAAAGGAGACAACAUAUGACUAACAGACGGAAAGAAAGAAAAUGGUAUUCUACAGACCUAAUUUAUCGGAAUUUACCAGUCGCCCCAUCCAACCGGAAUUAAUGACAAAAUCCGCACAUCGAGGAAAAGUUAAGCCAUGGUUCAAAGUACGGGUUCAAUUAAUGUGACGAGUAGAUUCAUGUUUAUNCUCAACCUAUCCAAGCGUCGUGACAUCAGGUUAAACGGAUCUAACUAGGUCAAAGUUUGUCGAGUCCUCAAAUUCAUUAGGUUCAACUUUCCUAGUCAAGUCCAUUUUAAAAUCUUUCGUGCCUACCAGCACAUCGAGUACAGAGCGUAGACGAUUCAACUUAAGUACGUUACGCCGAUUCAGGUUGCCCUUUAUCACUUGUUAAUAUCAUUUCCCAUCACAGUACUUACAACCGAGGUUGUCAACAACAGUUUUUUUUUUAAAAAAAAUAUUGAACAGAAAUGAGACUAUUUUUGGAUUUUUGUAAUUUUUGUUAUUUCUCCCCCUAAAUUUGUGCAUGGGUGAGAAUACGUUAAUGCGCAAAUUUUAAACCAUCCUGAAACAGAAAUUAAAAAAAUAAACUAAGACGACCAAAAAUAAAUUGAGAAGAAAAAGAAGAAGAAAAAGAAAAAAAAACUUAAAAAAAACUUAAUCCUCAAAACGUAUCAUUUUCAGAAAUCCAACAAGCACAUCGAAACGAGCUUUGUUAAAAGGCUUUGUGAACAAGUCUGCCACAUUGUUAUCAGCGUGGACUUGUUCGAUUCGAAUUAAAGAUCGUUCAUAACCGUCUCUGAUAAAGUGAAUUUCGAUGUGCUUGGUUUUAGAGUGUUGGACUGGGUUUUUAGCUAUUUGAAUUGCCGCUUCAUUAUCACAAUAGAUAGGGGUUUCAAUGUAAUUCAAACCGUAGUCCAACAGCUGAUGUUGGAUCCAGAUAACUUGAGAGCAGCAAGCUGAUGCAGCAACAUAUUCUACCUCUACCGUUGAAGUCGAGACAGUGUGUUGUUUCUUGCAUUGCCAUGAAACUAAUCUGUCACCUAGGUAUUGACAUCCUCCUGAAGUUGAUUUCCUGUCAAGCUCACAACCUCCAUAAUUACUGUCAGUAAAAGCAUAAAGAUUAAAUUCAGAAUUCUUCGGAUACCAAAGACCCAAUUUAGGGCUUCCUUUGAUGUACCGAAAAAUUCUUUUAACAGCAAUAAGAUGAGAGAGUUUAGGAUUAGCCUGAUAUCGAGCGCAUUGACAAACUGCAAACAUAAUGUCAGGUCGACUUGCAGUAAGAUACAUCAGCGAUCCGAUCAUCGAUCGAUAGAGAGUUUGAUCUACGGGUUCGCCUUCUGGAUCUGGAGUCAGGAGAGGUCGUUCAGCCAUCGGUGUAGAAGCAGAUUUAGCAUCGUGAAGUGCGAACUUCUCAAGAAUAUCCUCCACAUACUUGGCCUGAUGUAGCAAGAUUCCGGUUGAAUUCUGUUUAACCUGAAGCCCCAGAAACAUGGUCAUUUCUCCCAACGAACUCAUUUCAAAUCUUUUCUUCAUUACACUUUCGAACUCUUUGCAAAGCUUUUGGCUUGUUGAUCCAAAGAUUAUGUCAUCGACGUAUAUUUGUACGAGUAUCUGGUCUUUGUCGACAUGCUUUAUGAACAAUGUUUGAUCAAUAAUGCCGCGAGUGUAACCGUGUUCGAGCACAUGCUCUGUUAGGGUUGCAUACCAUGCUCUAGGAGCUUGAUGCAACCCAUAUAACGCUUUGUCCAACUUGUAGCCAUGAUUAGGAUACUUUGAGUCGACAAACCCUGGAGGUUGAUCAACGUAGAUUUCUUCCUUCACCUUGCCAUACAAGAAGGCAGUCUUGACAUCCAUUUGAAAGACAGUAAAGUUCAUAUACGAAGCAUACGCUAGGAAGAUACGAAUGGCCUCCAAGCGAGCUACUGGAGCAUAAACCUCAGUGUAGUCAAGACCCUCGACUUGUCGAAACCCACGUACUACCAGUCUGGCUUUGUUUCGCACAAUAACCCCUGAAUCGUCCUGUUUGUUGCGAUAGACCCAUCGUGUAUCAAGAGACUUCUUGCCCUUCGGUAACCCAACCAAUUUCCAAACACCGAUUUUUUCAAAUUGAUGCAAUUCUUCAUGCAUUGCAUCCACCCAGCUAGGUUCAUUUAGAGCCAUUUAUAUAUUCUUGGGCUCAAUUUGAGAGAUAAAGCAAGAAUACAGACAUGUAUUCACGUCUCCACUUUGAGUUCUAGUUUUAACACCACCAUCUAGCUGGCCGAUAACGUUUUCGAUCGGAUGAUCCCGUUGAACCCUAGAAGGUAUCUCUUGGCUAAUGUCAUUGAUAGAGACAAGUAGAGUGUGAAUGUUAAGACCUUCAUUUGGUUGUUGAGUAGUACCAGAUGGUUCUGCAACAUACUCAUCUACAAUAAGGUCAGGAAAGAGUAAUUCCAUCAGGGUUGAAGAGACAGCGGAAGCAUCAUUUGGAACGAACUCUUUCUCUGAAGAUAUGUGAGGUCUCGAUUCAGCAUCAGAAGAAUCAGUGUGGUCUGAUUGAGGACUGUCAUGUCCCAUGAACGGCCUCCCCUGAGGAGUAGCAGAGGACUUUUCCGAAGAUGUUGCAGAAGAAUCCCCCUCAAUUGCAGCAGAAGGCUCCCCCUCAGAUGAAGCAGAAGAUUCUCCCUUGCGCGAGUCAGAGGACUCCCAUUCGGGUGAAGCUUUAGACUUUCCUUUUGAUGAAUUAGAAGGUUUAGAUACAGGCUUGUAUACGACUUCUUCGUCUUCAUCUUCAGAGAUACUCUUCCAAUGCGAAUCAGUUCUAGAUACAUCAUUUGAAUACACGUUUAAGGAUUUGAAAAGUGACGUAUAAUCAAACAACCAGUCUGGACCCACUCUUGCGUCUGUCUCAUUCUCUUCCAACCAACGCACGUCAUAGGAUUCCACAAUCUGUUUGGUUUUCUUGUUAUAGACUCUAUAAGCGGUACGUGCAGCAUACCCAACAAAAUAGCAGUCAUCGGCUUUGGCAUUAAACUUCGGAUUGGCAUCUAGGUGAAGUAGGGUGCAAGGACAGCCAAAUACUCGAAAAUGACUGACCGAUGGCUUGUGACCAUAGUAAAUUUCAUACGGGGUUUUCAUUUGAGCUUUGUUGAUGAGCACUCGAUUCUGAACAUAACAAGCAGUAUUUAUCGCCUCCGCCCAAAAGAAAACAGGUAGCUUGGAGUCACACAACAUCGUUCUUGCAGCGUCUUUGAGUGUUCUGUUUCGCCUUUCAGCAACACCAUUUUGUUGAGGUGUAUGAGCUGAACUAAAUUGACGCAGGAUACCCUUUUCAGCACAGAAGUGAUUGAGAACAUAAUUCUUAAACUCUGUUCCAUUGUCGGUACGAAGCGCCUUCACCCUUUGAUUGGUCUGAUUCUCAACAAGUAUGAUGAACCUUUUGAUCAAUUCAGUGACGCCAGCUUUGUUGAAUAGAAAGAAAACCCACGUGACUCGAGAAAAAUCAUCAAUCACAACUAAACAGUAAGAACUUUUGUUGAUACUUAGCACGUUCACUGGACCAAAUAAAUCCAUGUGAAGUAAUUGGAGAACCUGACUGAUUGAGUUAACCUGUUUUGGCAGGUGCGGCUUUCGAUGGUGCNUGACACACAUUUUUCAAAAGUAAUAAAGUCCUUGACGGGCAAUCCACGGACCAUCUCAUUUUUCUCAAGACGAUUUAGAUUCUUGGCGUUAGCAUGACCUAAUUUUCGGUGCCACAGCAUUGCAGUUUGCUUGGAGAUCUUGGAGAAUAGACAAGUAACUUGUUCUGGGAGAUUGCUAUUCAUAUCAAUAAUAUAGGCGUUCCCAUCCCUUUUUGAUCUUACGAGAAUCCAUUCUUCAGGGAUGACAAAGCCUGGCUUUAAGACCAUGCAUUCCUUGUCAGUGAAAUGCGUAGAAUAGCCCUUGUCACAGAUCUGAGAAACACUUAACAGACUGUGUUUCAACUCGGGAGCGAAAUUCACGUUUUCGAAACUUAGAACUCCAUUUGACACGGUUCCCCUUUGAGUGAUUUUCCCUCCAUCUCCACCCGCAAAAGAGACAUACCCCCCAUUAAAUGAUUGAAUGCUGCGCAGUUGGGUGAUAUCUCCCGUCAUAUGCCGGGAACAGCCACUGUCGACAAACCAGGGUCUGACGACAUUUCCCCGCAACUGUCCCUGCAAAAUGUGCGGGUUUAAUUAGAUUUGGGCACCCAGGUCAUGAUCUUCCUGGGUGAUCCCGAUGCCUUUUCACAUUUAUUGCACUUAAACUUCUCUGAGGACACAGAGGAUGUAUUGGGAGCAGAUUUGGUCCUCCAUUUAUAAUUAGGUUUUCUGAAAAAUUCAGUCAACUUUGUCAUUUUAUGUUUAACAAUCUGCUUAAAGCAUGUGUUACUUCUACCAGAAUUGGUUGAAGAUCCACUAUUGCUUUGGGAUGAGCUUGACCUUGGCGUGGCUAUGCUCCUUUUUGGCAGACUGCUCGGGACAAGGUGAUUAAAAACCUUUUUAUGUCUGUGAAAAAUAUCCCUUUUUCUAUUUCGUUCAUCUGCCCAAUCAUCAUUUCGAGAGCGACUUCUAGAGGAAUUUCUAUUUAAAGACCUUCCUCUGAACUCGUUCUCCCCUCUUGGAAGAUUAUGACUCACAAACAUUCGAUUAAGACAAUUUCUAGCAAUAUGACCACUAGUACCACAAUUAAAACAAAUCUGCUUGUUAUUGUUAGAACUUGUGCUGCAUUUAUCAGAUUCGUUUUCCCUAUAAACACCCUUGCUUGUCUCACAGAAACAUGCAACAUUAUUAGGUUGUGAGGCAAGUGAGGGUGCUAUACUUAUUGAGGGUUGUGAAACUAGUGGUGUCUCAACAUUUUUAUCACAAACAUUCAAAUUGUCAACCAAAUUGUUCAAAAAUUUAUCAGACAUAUUAGAAGCACUCAAAACUGUAUCAGAGGUAGCAGCUACUGUAUCAGAAUAAUUAAAAACACCACAAGAAAUAUUGUCACUUAAAACAUUUGAAAAAGAAUUGUCUUUAUUUAAAAUGAAAGCUUCAGGUUUGGACUCGAUUUUAUUUUCAGAAACACAUCCUUCAACUUUGUGCUUUGACUGAUUCAAGGAUUGAUCUGCAGGAGAAGUAGAAAUGUUAGUACUUUCAACAUUAAUAAAUCCUCCCGAAACAAAACCGGAGGGCUUGCCAUAAAUCAUAAAUGAUUCAUUGACAAUCUCUUCUUUGGACAAAGGCUUGGACACAUAUGAAUGAUUGAAAGGAGGGGGUACAUGAUUAUACCCUAGACCUUUUGAUUGAUUCCUUUUAAACUGCAUACUUUGGUCUAUCAUAUUUGCAACCACCUCACUUGAGAAAUCAUAUUUUCUAACAUCAAGUUUGGCGGUCUCAAAUUUUCCUUUCAAAGAUUCAACUUCAGCCACUAGCUCAGCAUUUUGUUUGACUACAUAAUCAUAGUUUUCACAUUUGUUGCUGUAGUCUUCCUGGAGUCUCCUAAAGUCUUUAAUUUUUUAUUCUAGUUGAGCUUUAAGUGGUUUUUGUCCUUUUCGAAGUCGGUACCCUUCAUAUCUAAGGUCUUCUACGUCUCUUAUUAAUUUGUCAUUGAGUUCACGAAGAAUCCUAAGAUUUUCUACUUCAUUGCCUAAUGUCUCAAUUUUAUCCUGUAAAGUUUUCACAUAAUCUAUACAAGCCUUAGAGCAUGAUGGGAGACUUACCUUGGACGAAUUAGGUUCAUGGGAAGAGGAUACCAUCAAACCAAAUUGUAGCUUCAUCACACUGUCUUCAGCUGCUACAAUCCCUGCUGGAGAGUCAUCCCUUACUUGUGCUAGAUGAGCAUUUUCUGGUCCAGACAAAUUGAGAGCUUGUAUUUGAUCAUCCCAGUCGAAAGAUUGUGCAACCAUAGCCUUUUCAUUGUUUGCUUGACCACUGCUUCGGUUGUUCCCAACUGCAACCAUUGUUCUGUCAUUAUUAACCCUUCUAUCAGGGUGUGGGCAAUCACGAGCAAAAUGCCCUGGCUCGUGGCAAUUGAAACACCGAAGCUUUCCUUUGUUGAAUCCAACCUUCUUGUCAGCGCUCAUUCCCCAAUUGUUCUUUCCUGUCUUUUUGGCAAACUGUUUUGCCCUAAAUACAGCCAUGGCAAUUUGCCAUGUGAUGUCCAUUUCCUCAACGUCCUCCGGAUGGAUUUGAUCAAGAUCUGCAAAUGACAAUUGAGGUGGAAGUUCCCCAGCUACAAGAGCAUUGUAGCAAUUCACAAGCCCUGCUGCAAAGACAAGGUUUUCAUCACCCUCCUUUCCUUUUGAAGAGGAAGCCACAUUUGAGGAUGGAGCAGUUUGGGUAGACACGAGAGGUUGACUUUGUGGGUAGGGAAUGACCGGUGCAGGAUAAGAUGAACCUGCAGGGGUAUAAGAGAAGGAAGAAAGAGCAUUAUUAGUUGAAAUGCCAAGAUUGGCAGCUGAGUAGGAGUUCACAUGAUUGAUCUCUCGCUGCUUGUCAUCAAUAUCACACGCUUUGAUGACAGCCAUCACUUCAGCUAGAGAAAGGCGAUUGAGAUCCUUAGUCUUCUUAAUCACAGCUACAUUCAUGUCCCAAGAUUUUGGGAGAGCAUUUAGUAGCUUCUUAUUAAUUUCUGACUUUGUAUAGAAGAUCCCUGCCACAGUCAUCUCUGUGUUGAGAGUUGUGAAUCGCUGCAGUUGAGCUUCGAGAGUCUCUCCGGGAACAUAAUUAAACAUGUUGAAGCAUUGCCUCAGCAUAUCUUGGCGGCUUUCUCGCAUGUCUUCAUUUCCCUCAUAUACUUCAAUAAGGGCUUCCCACCAUGCUUUAGCAGAAGUAUACUCUCUGAAUCCUUGAGCAAUGUCUGGAGAUAAGGCCAUAGUCAAAAUGGCCAAUGCCUUUUCUUGUUCUUCUACACUCUCAAAGUCUUCAUCAGUGUAGUUUUCAAUUUUCUUGUCAACCACCUGCCCCCCAACUGUAGUGGUGAUUCUGACUGGAUCCUUUAUAACACAUUUCCAAAUCUUGAAGUCCUUCAUCUUUAUAUAUUUCUCAAUUCUAUAUUUCUACUCGGGGAAACCAUCAGCGGACAUGAGUCUUGGAAUCCGCGUGGUUGUUCCCAUCACAGCAUCGAGUUCUUGAUAUUGAUUAGGACUUUGUGAUUCCAUAUUUAAAGUUAAUUAUUUAUUUAAUAAGACAAAAAAAAUUAAUUAAUUAAUUUACUGUUAUGAACUCCGAAAAUUAAUUAAUUAAGAUUUUAAAACCGAGUUUACUGCCGAGAAAAGGUUUACUGUCAAGAACUGUUUACGGCCAUAAACUCCUUGUUUACGGCCCGCGAAAAAUUUGAAUUCUGGAACAAAGAAAUUGAUGAUGCAAUUUUUAAAAUCGAUUAUCCGAUAAUCGAUUUACGGCCAAAGUUUUUCAAAGAUCUCCGAGUUUACGGCCAAUGAUUACGGCUAAUUAUCUAUUAAAAAUUUAUUUUAUUUGAAAAUUUUAAUGCAAUGAAGUAUUAUUCUGAAAGCCUUAAGUCAGGAACUCGAUGUGCUGUAGAAUAGAUUCGAUUGCGGUGUAUGAAUCUUGAAUAGCUUGCGGCCGUGCUUGGGGUUUNUGAACCUUGAAUAGCUUGCGGCCGUGAACUUGGAGUUUACGGCCGUAAGCUCGGACCGUGAACUCUUAAACACACGAAAAUCGACUGGAAUAAAACCCUUCUUUCGCUACGAAUAUCGUUUUGAGCAAAAACACAACUGUAGGACGUCUUUGACACUGGUCUUGCUCUGAUACCAAUUGUAAAUCCCUAAUCUGCCCGUGUAUUAGUCAGAUCCGUUUGAUGGUGUGGAAUCCCAAUCAAACGGAUGAUGUAAGAUCAAAAAUAAAAGAGAAGGAGAAGAAGAAUUAAUAUGAAUCUUGUAUGUAUUGAUAUGAAUUGAUGUUCCAGAUACAAAAGAUUCAUACACAUACGCUCCUUAUUCUCUCUGGCCGUAAACUCCUUUUACUGUUUCAUCAAUCAUUAUUCCUCACCCUAAAACCUCUAUUUAUACUUGAAUAUGGGCCGGACACACAUGGGCCCUAAAUGAGUUUACGGCCGUAAACUAGGCCAUAAAAUCAUAAAAUAUUAUACAAAAAUACAAUUGCCCAGAAAAGUAAAGUAUAAACUAUAUUUUGACCCAACAAUUUUUGUGCCUAAUGGGGGUAAAAAUAAAUGAUUUUAUAAAAAUCAUAUAUCUCUCAUAUGGAUCCCGUUUUCGACACUCUUUGUCCUAAAGUUUAUAUUUUAAGGAGUACUACGAAACUCCUUUCGGCACUCUUUGUCCUAAGAGUUAUUAAUUUUAAUCAGUUAACAAAUAUUCUCCAAGUGUGUUAACAAACUUAGAAGAUUGUACAACUUUUUAGACGUUAAUUUUUUAGCCUAAUAGUCAUCUUAACAAAUAAAUGUAAUGGCACAUUUGAUUUUUAUUAUCUCGAAAUCAAAUAUUACAAUACUAAGCAAUUAGAUUUUUUUUUCCUAUUUUUUCCUAAUGGUGAUCAGUAACGGAAACCUCUCCGUUGUCACAAUAUAAUCCAAAAUUUUAUGAUUCAAAAUGAUAUGAUCCAAAUUUUUGUGAUCCAAAUUAAUAUUAUCCAAAAUGUAUGAUGUAUAAUAUCGUUAUGAUUCGAAAAUUUUUAUAAUGGUUAAAUAUCACAAACUCGAACCAAUAUUUAAUUCAAAAAAUAAAAAGAAAAAAAAUGAAAAGAAAAAAAAAUGAAAAAAG
rnacentral:lncRNA from 1 species